AUGUUUCGAGUCUUAACCGAACGUCGUGCCAUGCCAUACGGAUCAAUCUCCAUGUCCAUCCUCACUGCUAAAUGUCAUGCCUCUAACUUUGCACCAAAUGCCUUGUACCAUGUCUUCCAGUCUUGUCUUGCUAAUGGACUUCAAUACCAUGCCUAUUUUGAAAGUCAAUCCCAACCUGUAUCCUUUCCAUCACAACCUACAUAUAGCAAAAACAAACAGCACAUUAGCACAUCAGUUACAGGACAUGCACUUUGA